CUGAGUGGCCUGCCCCGGGCCCAGUGCGCUCGCUGAUUGGUUCGGCUCCACCUCGUGGCAAACCUGGCAGAAGUGAUGCAACGGCAGGGAAGGUUUCCCCAGCGCCCGCAUGCAGCAAGGGCGCCUCCGAUUGCGUCAGGCGGCGGGCAGUGGGCAUGGGCCCGGCGUGGCCACGGGCAGUGGGCCUCUCCUUGGCAACUCCUCCUGGCUCGGGCCAUGCAGGAGCCAUAGCGGGUGGGUUUAAGGCGAUGUCUCCUCAGCAGUCCUGCGGGUGAUGGGGCCGAGUCACUGCCACCCCAAGACUGUCCUGGGGCCGGAGCAGGACAUAGCCAGAAGGAGCACUCUGGGCGUUGUAAACUCCUGAGAGCACGCACGGUCGACAGCGAGGAAGCUGUAGGAAGCACCGUCCGCAUUCCACUCCGGUGCCUCACGCCGUUGGCUCGCGUGAGCAAAUGGAGAAACUGAGUCACGGGGGCGCGAAGGGGUUCUACAGAGGCUGCGGUUGAGUCAAAUCAGGCAGUCAAGGUUUUGCAGACCUCACGUGGUCACUUCUCAUUUCCUUAUGAUAAAGUUCCUUCUCGCUUCUCAUUCCUGACACUGUGAUCAACUUUUGCUGUUAGCAAGUAUGAUUAUCUGAAAUCAGGAGCCUGGGCAAGACCACCUAGGAGUCCACGACCAGUCCCCUGGGCCUUCAAGCGCAACUCACCUGUGUAACCGCAGUGGUACUUUCUCUCCUAAGCUCUUGUCACUGUGGGGAUACUUUCCAGGUAAGGUUCCCCGCCCCAGGGGCCCUGGGGCCAGAUUAUAGUCCAAUGUGUGGUUCUGCUGUUUGCCACAGUUGGACUUGUCCAUGCCACAAUCCACCUCUAAUUCCUUCUUCUGAUUUGUGUUCUUGAGCUGGGCGGCAGGGAUCAGGUUGUCCUUCUGAAAGUCCGACAAGUUGUUCAUGGCCUCCCUGCUGCCAUCAUCCGGUCGCCGAAGCCGCAGUUGUCGCACAGCCACUGCUACCAUGCCCAGCAACACCAGCACCACCACCAGCCCCACACCCAGGGAGACAGCCACCCACGGGAAGCUGGGUGGCAACCCCACAGGGAACUCGCAGCGGCUGCCCACAAAGCCAUAAGGGCAAUUGCAGACAAAGUUGUCCAGGGAGAGGCCAGUGUAGCAGGUGGCCCCAUUGAAGCAGGGCCCUGAGGCACAGGCAUCACUGGGUAUCCGCACCUCACAGCGCCUGCCAGAGAAGCCAGCAGGGCAGGUGCACAUGAACCCAUUCUCCAGGUCAUGGCAAGUGCCACCAUGGGCACAAGGACUGCGGGCACAGUCACUGAUGUGAAUUUCACAGUGGGUGCCUGUAAAUCCAGGACGGCAGCGGCACAUGCGGCUUGGACCUCUGCUUAGGCACUGGCCCCCUGUGAGAAGACAGAGCACAAGUCAACAAAAGUCUGGGAAUCUCCAGGUGCAGGGGGUGGAGGACCCAUCCCAGCAGUGAGUUUGAGCCCUUCCAUCUCCAUGCACACAACCAACAUGGACAGAAUCUACUGCAAAGAGAGAACUGUGCAAAGACCCAAGAGACCUAGAGUUUGGGGUGAACCUAGUUCUCUAUGCCUCAGUGGACUCAUAUAUAAAAAUAACUAGCAUUUUGUAAAACCUUGGAAUAAGACAUAUAUGCUUAGGUUUGAAUCUCAGCUGGCUCUCUCUAGCUGGGGAUCUGAUGCCUGUCAUUUUACCUUAUCCCUAAGCCUCAGCUAUCCCCUCAUAGAAUACCUCUGAGGGUUAGGGAGGAAGGUUCAUGAAGGCAAGAGCACCUGAUGGUAAGUAGUAACUGCUCAAAUAAAUUUAAUUAUCAUUGUUUCAUUUCAUCUUCACAGCCACAUCAAAGAUAGAUAAUAGGAAUUAUAUUUUUCCCAUUCAAUGAUGAAGAAAUUGUGGUGCCAGGAAGUUCUGAGAUGGAGAAAGGGAUGUUGUAGGCUUCAUGUCCGUCCUCAAAGGAGGCUAGUAAUGGAUGCAGUCAGCCCUGCUCUUGGAGGCCUCAUCUUUCUUGGUGCCCACAUAGAACAGUGUGGCACAAGGCAUCUAGAAUGUUCAGUACCUUUUUAUGUACUGGGGAUUGAAUCCAGGGGCACUUUACCACUGAACUCCAUCCCUAAUCCCUUUUAUUAUUUAUGUACUUAUUUAUUUUAUUUUGAGAUAGGGUCUCACUAAGUUGCUGAGGGCCUUGUUAAGUCAGUGACUCCAAACCUGCAAUCCUCCUGCCUCUGCCUCACAGUUGCUGGGAUUAAAGCAUGCAUCAUUGUGCCUGGCUGUUCAGCAUCUCCUCACCAGAAGGCUCUUAGCAAGGCAAGUGAACUUACCAUUGGCACAUGGAUUACUGGUGCAUCUAUCUACUUUCUUCUCACAGUUGGAGCCAGUGAAAUUGGGGGGACAUUCACAGGCAUAGCUGGCCCCUUGAUUACGCUCACGGCAGGAGCCUCCAUUGAAGCAGGGGGAGUCAGCACAGGUCAAGGUGCUAUGUUCACAGUGUAGCCCAUAGUAGCCAGGAUGACACAGACAGUGGUAGCCAUUUUCCUGGUCCUAGAGAAAAAACAUAAAGGGCAAAAGUCACACCCUGAGGGUGUGUGAUGGGAGUGCUGGGCUCCAGUUGCCCACAGCACCUAUCCAUGACUGCACAUCAAUUGGCUUCCUAGACUGGAAGUGCCUGGAUACCACCUGGCUAGACUUCUGUUUCUUAUUCUGGCCUGGGCCUCACCUUACAGCUGCCUCCAUUGCGACAAGGAUUGCUGUCACAUUCCUUGAGUUCCAGCUCACAGUCCACACCAGUGUAACCUGGGCGACAUGUGCAGGUGUAACUCCUCUGGCCACUGUUGGAGCAUGUUGCACCGUUCUUGCACGGGGAAUGGUGGGUACAAUAGUUGAGAUCUGCAGAGACAGAAACCAACCAGCUGAGCAAAGCCAGAGAUACUCCCACCUCCAGGCUCCUUAUAGUGCAAAUUCAUCCCCAUGUUUGGCCCAAAGAGGCUUCAACUCAGUCUUCCAGGCACAAUUAUCGUUCCUUCCCUGCCAAUGAAAUCAUGUAUGUUGAUGCACCUGGAACCAAUAUGACCAAUGCAAUCAAUCAAGGCUGAUAAAACAAUUGGAUAACUUCCUGCCAGGUAAGCUGAUAAAUACUUGCAGCCAGAGGAGGGUGAAGAUAGGAAGAGGCAGAGGAAAGGAGAGCAAGGCCUUGGAUCAAGGAAGAAGUCACAAAAGGCUCCAUGGAGGGCGAGAAGCCAAGAGAAGCCUGAAAAGGGGUAAAAUUUCAACAGGUGGAAAUGGUACAAGGGAGAUAAGAACUAUCAUAGGUAGGUAGUGACAAGCAUUUUAUUUUAAUUAAAAAAAUUUUUUUGCAGUUGUAGAUGGUCAGCAAGCCUUUAUUUUAUGUGUUUAUUUUUAUUUGGUGCUAAAGAUCAAAACCCAGUGUCUUACACAUGCUAGGCAAGUGCUCUGCCACUGAGCUGUAGCCUCAGCCCCAAUGAUCAAGCAUUUUUUAAAGGAGGAGGUGUUAAAAGGGUAUUUUGAAUUGUAAGUAUUUGUUUUCUUAUUGGGGAAGGGUAGGGAGGGAGAACCAGACAGAGCAAAUAUAGAAACUGUGAGGGCUGUGUUUGCAUAUGAUGAGUAUAUGAUUGUGUCACCUGGGAUCAAAUGUGGACAGAGGAGAGAGAAUGAGUAGGAACCAGGUGUGUGUGUGUUGGCUUUGGGGGAAUGGAGAGGAGAGGAAUACAUUCACAUACAAACACAAUACAGUACAGGGACCUAAUUUCGCUCCCUUGUCAAUAGCAAGGCCCAGGCAAGUUCUUUAAGCCUGGAAAAUCCCUCCCCACUCUAACCAGUCUUGUAUAGUGUCUCUGAGGCAGCAAAGGUGUUUUUGGCACACCAAAGGACUCUGAAAAUGGGAGGCACAUGCUCUAGCUGGCUACUAGGAUGUAGAAAGAAAGACCUUUCCCCAAAGUCGGGGCUCAAAGCUUCAUGUACAGUCAGAAGAAUGACUAGCCUCAAAUGCCAAGCAGAGACUGCAUGGGCUGAAGCAGCUGCCUGGCAGGUGCCACAGGGGGAGAAGGAGAGGUUGUUUGUACCCACACUGAAAAGUCAGUUGGAUGUCACUCCCUUCAUCCAGAGGCCCACCUCAGCCACAGCCCUGAGCGGCUGGUGGGCACACCCCACCAGACAGCUGUUUAGGGGAGAGCUGCUCAAACAGCCUUGCAAGGUAAGCAAACAUUCAGAGGGUUAAUAGGUAACUACAAGGCAGAAAGAGGAACUGAGCCUGGCAUCUCUUUCCCUUUGGCUUUGCUAGAAUUUAUGAGUGCAACUUCCAGGCUACCAAUCUGUCACCCUCCUGGCUUCUUUAACCACCAGGUUUCUCUAGCACCUGGGGAAGGACCCACAAACUUAUUCAAGGCUAGUUGUAAAGAUUCUUUAAAAAGUCCCAAGGUCCUUGAAGGACAAUGGCAAAGCCAAGUUAGCAGCUGCCAUGGAAGAAGGGUCUAGACACUGUGUCUCAUUUCCGGUCCCUGCCUCAUCUCUCCCUCCCUGACUCACCUUGGUCACAGAACAGUCCUCCCCAACCUUCGUCACAGGUACACUGCCAGGGGAUGCUGCAGGUGCCGUGGUGACAGCCAUUGUGGGGGAUACAUUCAUUGCACAGACGACCCUGCCAACCUGGGCGACAGCUGUGGGACGAAAGGAGGCUGAGAAUGAGAUGAGAGGCCUGGCCAAGAAGGGCUCCCUGCCCCACUUCCUGUCCCUUACUCACAGGCACUCAGCUGGCUUGCUGCAGUAGCCGUUCUGUUCAUGGCAGCCAGAUAGACAGAUAGCUAAAGAAAGAAGACAGGGCUGGAUGAGGAUGGAGUACCAAGGAUGCUGACGCUCCACUCUCCCCUCCAAGCUUGGGGGUACCCCUGCUAUCCUGGGCUCACUUCCCCAUCUCAGCCUCCCAGAGAAGCCAUGUCUUUUCAAAGGGAAACAAUGACACAGGGAAAAAGAAUCCAUGCUGGAUGGAAUUCAAUGUGGGGAUUCUUUGUGGGCUUUGGCAUGGUGGGGAGGAGGAUUAGGAAGAGAGAGGAGGUCUGAGCACAAGCCCUGCUCAGCAUCCGUAGGUGGCCCUGAGGCCUAGCUAGUAGGUAGCCCAGGCUUGCUCUGUGAGGGAGAUAGGCAGAAGCCAAGAAAAGUUCACCAUGCUUGCUGGGGGACCUCCCUUAUGCACUUAUAGGGGCUUGGCUGCUUACGCUGAUCACAGUACUCCCCAGUCCAACCGGGCAAGCAGGAUAGGCUGCCAUCUGGCUGGCACACAUAGUGGCCGAAGUGGUCAUCACGCUUCUUGCAUAGGCGAGAGCAGUUUUCUCCAUAGUAGUUGUCACUGCAGAUGACCCGGUAAGAGUAGCGCAGCCUUGUCAGGGUGCUGUUUUGCUCAUAUGGUAACCAGUUCUGACCCACAGCUAGGGAACCAUGGAUGGCAAUAUUGCUGAUGAGUGCAUCUGGUGGCAAGGCCUCUGAAAGGACAGAGGGUCAGGUCAAGGUAAGGCAGCCUGUCCCAAGAGUGCAGGUAACUUACUGGCCAGUGCCCCUCUCCCCAGUUGUGAUUAUAAUGGUCAGCCAACAAAUCAGCCUAGUUGACCAUAUGACCCCCACUUGCCAGCAAGCACAGGCCAGAGGGACCCUGAGACACAAGUCCUACUGUUCAGCUCCUCUAUGUGUACGCAUGUGCAGGGGACCUGAUAUCAUUCAAAAAGGGGACAAUAGAAGGAUGUUAGGAUAUCCCAGUGUUCUGGAGGCAGAUAGGGAGGAGAAAGAGGAAAAGCAGACAGAGUGGAAAAAACGGGAGGGAAAAAAAGAAAUAAAAAGAAAAGCUUCCCAGGGCAAGAAGGACUGGGAGCAGGGGGGUCCUUUGGUAUUCAAGGGUUCUGCCCCCAGAGGUAGGUAAUGGUUUUCUUUUUCCUUUUCAAAGUGAGAAUUGUUGUGCUGCUGAAAUAUCCUUUUCCUCUGUGUCAGAACAACAUCCCAAAGCCAUUAUUCCCUUUCCAAAGGAGCGGAAUUCACGAAAGGUGUAAAAUACAGGAAGGGGCCCGUCAGCGGUGCUGGCAGCUUCAGCCUUUCUCACCGCCGUGCUCCCCGCGUUCCCACGCCAAAAAUAACCCUCAGGAAACGCAAUUGUGCUCUGAGUCCAGGCAGCAAGCGGAAUCCGAGCGUCCAGCGCGGCGCGCAGCUCCAGGCCAAGCUAAGCGUCCUGCCCCCCACUCCCAACCCCGCACUUCCCCCGCCUAUAACAGGUUAACUCUUUCGGCGCUGUGCGGUGUCGCCCCCCUGUGGCUGAAGAAGAGCUACUCACCUGGUCGCAGGUCGUCUCCUGGCGUGUGCCAAGCUUCUAUGAUGAGUGAGAAGGCUGUGCUCACCGGCCAGGUGAAAUUGAAGGGCAGUUGGAGAGGAUUUCGGCCCCCGCCGCUACUGUCAUCCUUGACCGCGAAGGAGUUGGUGCCCAAUACCGGCGUGGAGACGCUGCCGAAGGUGCAGGGCCCGGGAGAGACGACAGCUUGGUAAUGCUUAAGGCAGACGCGGAAGAAAGUCCGGCAACCGGGCUCACACGGCCGCCCACUGGCCAAUAAGCCGCGCUCGUUGGCGAACUCCUGCAGCUGCAGCUGGAAGACGCCUGCGCCCGCCGCGCGCUAUUGCACAGGGACCGAGGGAAGGAGGGAGGGGAGCGGUCAGCUCAGCGGGCGCCGGGGCUCAGGCCCGGAGCGUGGCGGGAGGGGGCGGAGAGGGCGCGGGACGUUACCUGCUGCCAAAGUGCCACCAGCAGCAGUAGCGCCCAGCCAAAGGCGCUCCUAACCACGGCUGCCAUCCCCUGGGGCGUCGCUUUCUCCACUCGCCGGCCCUGAACCUGGUUCUGUUGGGGAUGCCGCUUUCCCGCGCGUCCUCCAGCCAACAGGAUUCCUGAAAAAACUGGCUUCUCUCGGUAUGCUGUUCCCUCGUCGCCCUCUCCCUAGCUCCGUUGUAGCUGCCUCGAUAGGUAAUCCAGGUGAGGGCGACUGGGCGGCGGCAGUGAUAAGGACGUGUCUUCGAGCUAAUCCUAGGGCUGCAAGUGGGCUGAUGCCGAGGUACACUGCACCGAAGCGGCUUGAGCUUCGGCUCUCGGCCUCGUGUUCCCGGCCUGCGCACAGCGCCGCUACUGAAACCUGCGAGCUCCGGAGCCUUCCUUAUAUAUAUUGGCUCCUCUGCUCGCCGCCUGUCACUCAGAUAGACUCAUGGUCACUCUCCCCUCCCCUUCGGGCUUCUAGCUGCUACAGUCCCAGCACCGACCGGAGGGGGCCUCCGCCCCCGCUGCCCCCUCCCCCCCGCUAGCCAUUCGCGCGCAAGUCCCCGCCCCUUGGUUCCUCUCUGAAACACUGGGCCCCCACCCCCCAGCUCUACGCGUGCCGAGAUGAUCGCCUGGCUAAGGGCUGAGACCCUGGCUGCCGGAGGAUAGGAGGGUGGCCGAGGGAAACAGAGGGGGGUCAGCGGGUGGUUCCCGGAUGGUCCAGGAGGCGGAGACACUAGGGAGUCCCCGUAGGCGGUGCCUCGGCGGCGGGCGCUAUUUACCUGCAGUCUUGGAGCAGGUAAAAAGAACUUAAGCCCAGAAAGCGAAAACCAGAGCCGGAGGACCUCUAUUUCUUCUUUUCUUUCCCGGAGCUUCGAGAGUCCUCGCCUCAUCGGCCUCCAACCUAUCAGCGCCCACCCACCUAGCGUCCCCGGCUCAGCCGAGAAGCCAGCGCACGCAUUAACCUCUCAGUGACCACUCGGAGCAAGGCGAGGAGCCAAGCGUCUAAGAUUCUGGUCUUCCAAGUAUACCUGGGCCUCCCUCACCUGGGUCCAGCUUCAGCUCCAUCGCCUACUGCCCACCCUGUCCCCCCACUCCAGCAACCCCAAGCCCCCGCCCGCGUCCUGUAGCUCCGCUGGGGCAGGGAGGAACUCUCCUGACUCCAGAGUUGACUCGGGCCACUGGAGAGUCAAGGGGUAGAAUUUUGCCCAAUUUCUGAGCCUGAAAGGAUCGCGCUGCAGGCAGGGAAUCCAAGUGAAUGGGCCUGAAUGUUUCUGGACAGACACCCCAAUUCUGGAACACCUCACUUCCACACUCCAGCGGAAGGAUGAAAUUUGCAUUCUUGGGGCUCAAAAAAGGAGUAGGAAACAGGGAGGCGAUAAAGAGGUCGCAGAUCACUUGGAUUGGGGACUCUUCAUCAGAGUCUACUGAUCCUAUGACUGAUGUAGACGCUUGACCACGCCCAGGAGAGUGGACUUGGACUUGGUUCAGACCAACCUGGGCUCCCACUAACUGCGAGUCUUUCUCGGAUCCACAGUUCCUCAAUCUCGACCCUGCCCAGCGUCGGAAACCAGACCAGAGUGGAAGCCUGACUUCACACCGAGGCCCACAGCCCCCGCCCCAAGAGGUCUUCUACUUUGCUGUCCUUUCAGUUUGGCUAUUGCGCUACCACUACACAUCAUUCCCGCAGCAGGCAGAACUAGCACCUGGAGCCAGGAAACACCAAGGUUGCCUUCCGCAGUGCACUCAGACUGACCCCGGGUCACUGGAGUACGUCCGGAGCCGGAGCCCUGUAGUCUCUGCACUUCUUCCCAGCUGUGUGGCCUACAAGCCUUGCGCAGAGUCGUGGGCGCAGCUCCGAUUUCUCUAGUAGUUUUACCCCUCACCCCCCUCCCUCCAUUCCUCCCAGGGAACAGCGCUCUCGUCCCGGCACACUGCAAAAGGGUAGAAACACAGUGGGGUCCCUACCACAGAGCCCGAUGGGCAGGUUGGGGGCGGGGAAGCAGGCCUGGCUGGGGCGGAGCGCUUAAGCCUUGAGGGGCGCUGCUGUGGGUGGAUGCGGAGAAGGGGCCACGUGCAGGGAGCGGCGGCCCGAGAGCUGCACAGAAGGCGGGGAGAUUUGCAAACUGUUGCUGCCACAUGGCUGCUCCAUUCGAUCCAUUCACAUUGAAAUGAGGCCGGCGCGUGCCUCAUCUGCCGCAGGGCGCUGCCACGCGUCAGCCCGACCCGCCGCGUGCCAACUGGGGCAGUGGGGCUGGCAAAGUCUGCCAGCCGUGGGGGCUCAGCCCAGGCCCUACAGCCAGGAGGGGGUAGGGGAAGGGCGUCGAGCUACCCUAGCCACUCAGGCGCCACUGUUUCUCGGACCUUGGCCCUGCAAUUGCGAUUGAGCCGGCAGAAAGGACCAGGACGGACGGUUUCAAAAGGGGGCCAGGAUCGAUGCCGCCGCUCCCCGCAGAUGCGCCCCGGCAGCGCUACUCUCCAUCUGCUGCUGCUCGCACCUGCCGGUCAAUAAAUCGAUUUUACAAUUUAAUGCAGCAGCUUCCCGCCCGCCUGGGACAGAUGCCGCCGCAGAACCACCUCCGCCUUCGCCCCUCCCCUCGAGGGGCGCCAGCGGUUAAGGACUGGAUUCCCGCUCAGCUGGCGGCGCCCUGCGGGGCCUAGUGCACCUCUCUUGGGAGCCCCUACAAGGAACUGCCCGCUCCGGGGUUUUUCCCGCGGACAGAGUGGGUUCCCCAUAGGUCAGGCCUGAAGCUGGCCAAGGAGACCAAAUGAUGACUUAGCCGUGGCCUGGCUUGGGAAGGGGGGGGCGGUUCAAGGAAGGAACAGGAUACAGUGACUGAAGAUAAAAUGUGAGGGCCCCUGUGAGAAGGAAGGGGAGGGGCAUGGGCACUGAGGGACACUGAGUUCUGAAAAAUUUCAAGGGGGCUGAGCUGGGUGGAGCACUGAGGUGGGAUGGGGGUUCUGCCCACCCUUUCUUGUCAGUCUGGUAAAUAAACAUGAUAAGGACUUGGCUCCCAGCACUUCCUA